rnacentral:rRNA from 1 species
UACGUAGGGGGCAAGCGUUGUCCGGAUUUAUUGGGCGUAAAGAGCGUGUAGGCGGCCAUACAGGUCAGCUGUGAAAACUCGAGGCUCAACCUCGAGACGUCGGUUGAAACCGUAUGGCUAGAGUCCGGAAGAGGAGAGUGGAAUUCCCGGUGUAGCGGUGAAAUGCGCAGAUAUCAGGAAGAACACCCGUGGCUAAGGCGGUUCUCUAGUACGGUACUGACGCUGAGACGCGAAAGCGUGGGGAGCGAACAGG